rnacentral:rRNA from 2 species
UUGACCUCAAAUCAGGUAGGAUUACCCGCUGAACUUAAGCAUAUCAAUAAGCGGAGGAAAAGAAACCAACAGGGAUUGUCUUAGUAACGGCGAGUGAAGCGACAAAAGCUCAAAUUUGAAAUCUGGCACCUUCGGUGUCCGAGUUGUAAUUUGAAGAAGGUAACUUUGGAGUUGGCUCUUGUCUAUGUUCCUUGGAACAGGACGUCACAGAGGGUGAGAAUCCCGUGCGAUGAGAUGUCCAACUCUAUGUAAAGUGCUUUCGAAGAGUCGAGUUGUUUGGGAAUGCAGCUCUAAGUGGGUGGUAAAUUCCAUCUAAAGCUAAAUAUUGGCGAGAGACCGAUAGCGAACAAGUACAGUGAUGGAAAGAUGAAAAGAACUUUGAAAAGAGAGUGAAAAAGUACGUGAAAUUGUUGAAAGGGAAGGGUUUGAGAUCAGACUUGGUAUUUUGUAUGUCUUGCUUUCGGGUGGGGCCUCUGCAGUUUACUGGGCCAGCAUCGGUUUGGACGGUAGGAUAAUGACAUUGGAAUGUGGCACUACUUCGGUGGUGUGUUAUAGACUUUGUUGAUACUACCUGUCUAGACCGAGGACUGCGUCUUUGACUAGGAUGCUGGCAUAAUGAUCCUAAACCGC